CCCUUAUUCCUAAACUGUUGGGACCAAAACUCCCACAAUCAAUCCCAACCUUCCUUUUAUGGUCAUAAACCUUGUGUUUAAAUUUCAUAGAUUUCUAUUUACUUAUACUAAAGUUAUGGUGCAAAAACCAAAAAAAAGGCUUAUUUGGGCCCCUUUUUGGCCCCUAAUUCCUACACUGUUCGAACCUCAACUCCCAAAAUCAAUCCCAACCUUCCCUUUGUGGUCAUAAACCUUGUGUUUAAAUUUCAUUGAUUUCUUUUUACUAAUACUAAAGUUAUUGUGCGAAAACCAAGAAUAAUGCUUAUUUGGGCCCUUUUUUGGCCCCUAAUUCCUAAACUGUUGGAACCAAAACUCCCAAAAUCAAUCCCAACCUUCCUUUUGUGGUCAUAAACCUUGUGUUAAAAUUUCAUAGAUUUC
rnacentral:lncRNA from 1 species